AACGAACGCUGGCGGCAUGCCUAACACAUGCAAGUCGAACGAGACCUUCGGGUCUAGUGGCGCACGGGUGCGUAACGCGUGGGAACCUGCCCUUAGGUUCGGAAUAACUCCCCGAAAGGGGUGCUAAUACCGGAUAAUGUCUUCGGACCAAAGAUUUAUCGCCUUUGGAUGGGCCCGCGUUGGAUUAGCUAGUUGGUAGGGUAAAAGCCUACCAAGGCGACGAUCCAUAGCUGGUCUGAGAGGAUGAUCAGCCACACUGGGACUGAGACACGGCCCAGACUCCUACGGGAGGCAGCAGUGGGGAAUAUUGGACAAUGGGCGAAAGCCUGAUCCAGCAAUGCCGCGUGAGUGAUGAAGGCCUUAGGGUUGUAAAGCUCUUUUACCUGGGAUGAUUAUGACAGUACCGGGAGAAUAAGCUCCGGCUAACUCCGUG
rnacentral:rRNA from 1 species